rnacentral:rRNA from 1 species
AUUGAACGCUGGCGGCAGGCUUAACACAUGCAAGUCGAGCGGGGGAAGGUAGCUUGCUACCGGACCUAGCGGCGGACGGGUGAGUAAUGCUUAGGAAUCUGCCUAUUAGUGGGGGACAACAUCUCGAAAGGGAUGCUAAUACCGCAUACGUCCUACGGGAGAAAGCAGGGAAUCUUCGGACCUUGCGCUAAUAGAUGAGCCUAAGUCGGAUUAGCUAGUUGGUGGGGUAAAGGCCUACCAAGGCGACGAUCUGCAGCGGGUCUGAGAGGAUGAUCCGCCACACUGGGACUGAGACACGGCCCAGACUCCUACGGGAGGCAGCAGUGGGGAAUAUUGGACAAUGGGGGGAACCCUGAUCCAGCCAUGCCGCGUGUGUGAAGAAGGCCUUAUGGUUGUAAAGCACUUUAAGCGAGGAGGAGGCUACUUUAGUUAAUACCUAGAGAUAGUGGACGUUACUCGCAGAAUAAGCACCGGCUAACUCUGUGCCAGCAGCCGCAGUAA